rnacentral:lncRNA from 1 species
AAACCCAUGAAAGUUGAUUGAAUUGUGAAAAUGAUGAAAUUGUUGUUGUUAUAUUCAUGAAAAUUGGUUAAAAAGUGCGCAUGAUGAAAUUGUUGUUGUUAAACCCAUGAAAUUUGAUUGAAUUGUGGGAAUGAUGAAAAUUUUGCUAUUAAAACCAUGAAAUUUUAUUGAAUUGUGUGAAUAAUGAAUAUGUUGUUGUUAAACUCAUGGAAUUUGAUUGAAUUGUGGAAUUGAUGAAAAUGUUGCUCUUAAAACCAUAAAAUUUGAUUGAAUUGAGUGAAUGAUGAAAACGCUGCUAUUAAACCCAUGGAAUUUGAUUGAAUUGUGGCAAUGAUGAAAAUGUUGACGUUAAACCCAUGUAAUUUUAUUGAAUUGUGUGAAUGAUGAAGCUUUUGUUGUUAAACCUAUGAAAUUUGAUUGAAUUGUGUGAAUGAUGA